UUUGCAUUUUAAAAAAGAAAAUCAAAAAUGGUUGCGAGGCUAAAAAGUUAUUUGCGUGGGUUAAAUGAGGGUUAUAAUUUACGUAUUUAAUUUUAAUAACUGACAGUGAAUAAAAUAUGCAUAUAAACGUAAAACGAACGAGCGCUACGCAUUAUCCGCUCGAAGAUAUGUUCAUUUAGUUCUACUUGCGAACACACAAAGUGCGAUGACUUUUGUUAGUAGCUGAAAUUUAUGGGCGUUUUUCAAGUCUUAUGUGGAGGUUUGACCUUACUUCUCUUCGGAUUCAACGCUUGCAGUGGAUUGAAAAUUUGUCGGUGUGGAAGAAAGGCCACCGGCUCUCAGCGUUCGUCGGAGAUUACCGUCUGUAGUGAUAAACCUUAUCGAUCCAUGAACGAAUGAAUCCCAGCACUUCUUUUCCAGCGGGGAUAUAUACUCCCCCGUUUCGAACAAUUAGAAGAUCGAAAUCCAAACCUACUAAGGGAGCUUCAUCCUCCAAACCGUAUAGAUCUCAAUCAACUAAUGAAAACAGGUUGUACAGACAAAUCUUGGAUUGGAAACGCGCUGAUGUAAGAACGAUCUCAAGGACAUCACAAGCAAUCAGCACAAAUCCAAACGACCUCAUCAAGCAAAUGCGAAGUCUCACUAUCAAGGCGUCUGAAUCUGCGAAAGACUGUAGGACUCAGGAGAGGGAAAAGACGCCGAAGAAAAGGACGCGUUUUGUUAUAACGGAUUUAAGCUCCAACAAUCUUGCGAGACAUGACGAAAAGUUUUUCCGACCGCUGACCGGGCGGGAGAAGCAGCGUCGGAUCUCCGUCUGGGUGCAGAACGUCGAGCACCAGCGGCUGGCGGCGCCCGACUCCACGGAGGCCGUCACGUGCGACACUCCAAGCACAGAGACCACCGGUCGGCUGUCUGCCUCGCUGGUCAGCCAGCACGGCUCCUCGGCGGCCACACCGACCCAGCACCAGCACCACCAGCACCAGCACCAGCGGACGGCGCCGGCACACCGACACCAGCACCACCACGGCCCCGGUCCCGCCAAACGGCCUCAUGUUUGACCGGGUGAGGCUAGCACACUGAGCCUUCCCAUGGAGCCUGCCCCUGCCGGGGUUCUCUGAAUCAACGGCGAAAGGAUUGAACGCACAGUCGGCGACGAAUGACCGAACGACACGAUGGUGACAACGACAAUGAGGAGUAAUUGCUCAGAAGGCGGCACCACGCCGCAAACGAAAUGUGGUACAGCGAACCUCUAAGAUGCGACUCGUAUGUGACCCAAACAUGAUCAAUAAACGAGCAAAAAACGAUA